AAAUGCCAUUUGUCUGUAGAUCGCUCUGUUUCAACCUCUCCUACUAUGUCUCUAUCGCUCUUUAAGUAUUGAGCUGUCUUUUGUUUGAGAACCUCCAUAUCACUUUGUCCUAACCUAGUGCUCUCUUCUUCAUGCGAUUCUGAAGUGAUUUUCUCAUCUCAUUCUGCGCAGAUCGAGAUUAUGUCCCGAUGACCACCCACGUCACCAUCAGAUCUAUUACUGUGAAACAUUAAAACACCUUCCGGAGCCGCCCCCGACGGUAGAUGCCCCUCCCCCAAAGGUGCGGACUCCGACCGCAAAACCUGACUCAAUAGGGGAGGGUCCGGGUGGGCAUCUACCGUCGGGGGUGGCUUCGGUGUGGGGCGAAGUACCCACUCUGCUCGCAGAUACGUCUUCCUCCAUGCGGCUCUGGUGCAGGGAUCAUCGUCGGAAGCUACGGACCGUGGAUCGUCGCCGGAGGAACCGGACUGUAGAUCGUCGCAGGAAGAUCUGGAAUGAGAACCCCUGCUGAAGGCUCUGGACCGCCGACCGCCAGCUGGAGGCUCUGGACUGCCGACCGCCAGCUGGAGGCUCUGGACCGCCAGCUGGAGGCUCCGGACAGCCAGCUGGAGGCUCCGGACCGUCAGCUGGAGGCU